CCUACGGGAGGCAGCAGUGAGGAAUAUUGGUCAAUGGAGGCAACUCUGAACCAGCCAUGCCGCGUGAAGGAUGACGGCCCUAUGGGUUGUAAACUUCUUUUAUAGAGGAAGAAACUUGUCUACGUGUAGACAACUGACGGUACUCUACGAAUAAGGAUCGGCUAACUCCGUGCCAGCAGCCGCGGUAAUACGGAGGAUCCAAGCGUUAUCCGGAUUCAUUGGGUUUAAAGGGUCCGUAGGCGGGUCUUUAAGUCAGUGGUGAAAGCCGACAGCUCAACUGUCGAACUGCCAUUGAUACUGGAGACCUUGAGUACAAAUGAAGUAGGCGGAAUGAGUCAUGUAGCGGUGAAAUGCAUAGAUAUGACUCAGAACACCGAUUGCGAAGGCAGCUUACUAACAUGUAACUGACGCUGAGGGACGAAAGCGUGGGGAGCGAACAGGAUUAGAUACCCUGGUAGUCCACGCCGUAAACGAUCAUCACUCGCUGUUGGCGAUAUACUGUCAGCGGCCAAGCGAAAGUAUUAAGUGAUGCACCUGGGGAGUACGCCGGCAACGGUGAAACUCAAAGGAAUUGACGGA
rnacentral:rRNA from 1 species